rnacentral:sRNA from 1 species
CAGGAGGUUCGACUCGAGCGAAGCGAGAGAACGUUGCGUCAGCAACGGCCCGCAGGGCGAGCCACGAAGUGGUGAGUCAUCCUCUAUCACCGACCA